AGGGUUUGAUCAUGGCUCAGAACGUACGCUGGCGGCACGCCUAAUACAUGCAAGUCGAACGAAGUAGCAAUACUUAGUGGCAGACGGGUGAGUAACAUGUAGGUAUCUUCCCAUUGGUGAGGAAUAACACGAGGAAACUUGUGCUAAUACCUCAUAAGUCUUUACGGAGAAAGCUUUAUGCGCCGAUGGAUGAGCCUGCACUUGAUUAGUUUGUUGGUAGGGUAAUGGCCUACCAAGACAAUGAUCAAUAGCUGAUUUGAGAGGAUGAUCAGCCACAUUGGGACUGAGACACGGCCCAAACUCCUACGGGAGGCAGCAGUAGGGAAUCUUGCACAAUGGGGGAAACCCUGAUGCAGCGAUGCCGCGUGAGUGAAGAAGGCCUUUGGGUUGUAAAGCUCUUUCGUCGGGGAAGAAAAUGACUGUACCCGAAUAAGAAGGUCCGGCUAACUUCGUGCCAGCAGCCGCGGUAAUACGAAGGGACCUAGCGUAGUUCGGAAUUACUGGGCUUAAAGAGUUCGUAGGUGGUUAAAAAAGUUGGUGGUGAAAUCCCAGAGCUUAACUCUGGAACUGCCAUCAAAACUUUUUAGCUAGAGUAUGAUAGAGGAAAGCAGAAUUUCUAGUGUAGAGGUGAAAUUCGUAGAUAUUAGAAAGAAUACCAAUUGCGAAGGCAGCUUUCUGGAUCAUUACUGACACUGAGGAACGAAAGCAUGGGUAGCGAAGAGGAUUAGAUACCCUCGUAGUCCAUGCCGUAAACGAUGUGUGUUAGACGUUGGAAAUUUAUUUUCUGUGUCGCAGCGAAAGCAAUAAACACACCGCCUGGGGAGUACGACCGCAAGGUUAAAACUCAAAUGAAUUGACGGGGACCCGCACAAGUAGUGGAGCAUGUGGUUUAAUUCGAAGAUACGCGCAGAACCUUACCAACACUUGACAUGUUCGUCGCGACUUUAAGAGAUUAAAGUUUUCGGUUCGGCCGGACGAAACACAGGUGCUGCAUGGCUGUCGUCAGCUCGUGUCGUGAGAUGUUGGGUUAAGUCCCGCAACGAGCGCAACCCUCACUUUUAGUUGCCAUCAUUUAGUUGGGCACUCUGAAAGAACUGCCAGUGAUAAGCUGGAGGAAGGUGGGGAUGACGUCAAGUCCUCAUGGCCCUUACGUGUUGGGCUACACACGUGCUACAAUGGCAUUUACAAUAGGAAGCAAAACGGCGACGUUAAGCAAAUCCUAAAAAAAUGCCUCAGUUCGGAUUGUACUCUGCAACUCGAGUACAUGAAGCUGGAAUUACUAGUAAUCGCGGAUCAGCGCGCCGCGGUGAAUACGUUCCCGGGUCUUGUACACACCGCCCGUCACACCAUGGGAGUUGGUUCUACCUUAAGGCAAAGCUUAAUACCUUUGACCACGGUAUAGUCAGCGACUGGGGUGAAGUCGUAACAAGGUAGCCGUA
rnacentral:rRNA from 1 species